UACGGGGGGGGCAAGCGUUGUUCGGAAUUACUGGGCGUAAAGGGCUCGUAGGCGGCCAACUAAGUCAGACGUGAAAUCCCUCGGCUUAACCGGGGAACUGCAUCUGAUACUGGAUGGCUUGAGUUCGGGAGAGGAACAUGGAACUCCAGGUGUAGUAGUGAAAUGCGUAGAUAUCUGGAAGAACACCAAUGGCGAAGGCAAUGUUCUGGCUCGUUUCUGACGCUCAGGUGCGAAAGCCAGGGGAGCGAACGGG
rnacentral:rRNA from 1 species